UCCGGCUUGCCACCGGCAGUUCCACUAGAGUGCUCAGCUUAACCUGGUAGCAACUACAGACAAGGGUUGCGCUCGUUGCGGGACUUAACCCAACAUCUCACGACACGAGCUGACGACAGCCAUGCAGCACCUGUGCAUGCUCCCCUUGCGGGGUCGUCCCACUUUCAUGGUUCUACCACAUGCAUGUCAAGGCCAGGUAAGGUUCUUCGCGUUGCAUCGAAUUGAGCCACAUACUCCACCGCUUGUGCAGGCCCCCGUCAAUUUCUUUGAGUUUCAACCUUGCGGCCGUACUCCCCAGGCGGCACAUUUAAUGCGUUUGCGUCGACAUGAAGGGGGUCGAUACCCCUCACGUCUAAUGUGCAUCGUUUACAGCUAGGACUAC
rnacentral:misc_RNA from 1 species